UACGGAGGGUGCAAGCGUUAUCCGGAUUCACUGGGUUUAAAGGGUGCGUAGGUGGACUGGUAAGUCCGUGGUGAAAUCCCCAAGCUUAACUUGGGAACUGCCGUGGAUACUAUCAGUCUUGAAUACUGUGGAGGUAAGCGGAAUAUGUCAUGUAGCGGUGAAAUGCUUAGAUAUGACAUAGAACACCGAUAGCGAAGGCAGCUUGCUACACAGUCAUUGACACUGAGGCACGAAAGCGUGGGGAGCAAACAGGAUUAGAUACCCUGGUAGUCCACGCCCUAAACGAUGAUUACUCGACAUACGCGAUACACUGUGUGUGUCUGAGCGAAAGCAUUAAGUAAUCCACCUGGGAAGUACGACCGCAAGGUUGAA
rnacentral:rRNA from 1 species